UGAUUUCUUUAGACACAAAUACAUAUAACUUCAAUAGUUUUCCUUUUAUAAGAGUAGCCAUGGUGGGAGGAUUCACCAUAUACCUUUUAAUUUCCUCAAACGUCUUCUAAUGUUCAUAGCUCCAUAGAAAUUAUUUUUCAUUUUUAAGAUUUAAUAAAGGUACGAACAACUCGGGCCUUUACAUUUUUCUUGAUUUUACCUCUACUCCUUUUUCUUGAAUUAAUAUUAUAAGAAUUUUCACCGGUCACUCCAAAAGCAUAUUUAAUUAGAUUUAUUUUUAAGUUAUAUUCUAGCUUUUUUAUUUGUGUCAAUAUUUUUUCUCUAUUUAAUGAUAUUUAUGAUUUAUGAGGUUCUCUCUUUGUCAACAUUAAAAUCUUUGACAUCCAUGUUCAACACAUAGAAUGAGAAUACAUUGAAUAUUCAUUCAUUAAACUUCAAAUUUUAUUCAUUCUCUAAUGAUGAAUCUAUUAACAUAUCAACAACAGACGAAUACUCAUAACAAGCAAAUAUUCAUAUUCAAGAGUAUUAACAUUCAAAUCUCUAAAAUUUAUACAUAUUUUUUAAGAACCAUUUUUCUUAAUAACUAUAUUAGAUACCCAAUCAAUAUACUAAAAAUUUUGAAUGAAUUUUUCUUCGAGCAGUAUCUAAGUUGCCGCUUUGAUAUUUGAAACUACUUCUGAUAAAAAACCUCCCUAGAAUUUGUCUGAUUGCUUUCCUUUCUAGUUUCAAGCAUACCGUUUAUUCUACUAAACUUCAUUCUACUAGACAAAUACUCAUAUUCAAGAGUAUCAACAUUCAUUGUCUUUAAUGAAUUGAAAUGAUCGGAUCAUGACGGUCACAAAUUAUUCAUCAAUUUGAUUCCUUCCAUGCAUCACGAAUCAAUCAAAUUCAAAUAAAUUUAAGGGAUACAAUAAUGUGUCUUUCAUGUCUUUAUAAAGACACCCUUGUCAUCACAUAUUAAUAGUAAUGUAUAAUAUGAAUGACAAAACUCGGCAAAAACAUAACCUUAAUUGAAUUCACAAGUGUCAUAUAAUACGAACAUUAAACUAUACAUGUAUAUAUACCAAUCAUAUUAUAAUUUUAACAAGGACUUUUACAUGAUGCACAUCCUUUUUACAUGUCCAACAAAUGUCUUGGACGAUAAACCUUUAGUUAACAAAUCUGUUAUCAUUAAAUAUGUACCAAUAUGUUCAAAUGACACUUUUUGUUUCUGCACUUCUUCUUUCACUAAUAAGUACUUCAAUUCCAUGUGUUUAGCACCUUUAGAAUAUUUAUCAUUCUUAGAGAAGAAGACAGUUGCAGAAUUAUCACAAUGAAUCUUUAGCGGCCUAUCUAUACUAUCGACAAUACCAAGUCCUAAGAUGAAGUUCCGCAACCACAAUGAUUGAAUUAUGGCCUCAAAGCAUGCCAUAAAUUCUGCCUCCAUAGUAGAGGUAGAAAUGAUGGACUGCUUUCCACUCUUCCAUGAUAUUGCUCCUCCAGCCAGAAGAAAAACAUAUCCAAAUGUUGAUUUUCUUGAGUCCACACAUCCUGUAAAGUCUAAAUCUGAGUAGCCAACCACUUCAAGUUGAUUUGAUCUUCUAUAAGUGAGCAUGUAAUCUUUGGUGCCUUGUAAGUACCUAAGAACUUUCUUUACAGCUUUCCAGUGAUCCAUUCUAGGAUUUCUUUGAUAUCGACCCAACAUACCAACGGCAAAACUGAUAUCCGAUCGAGUACAUGUUUGGGCAUACAUCAAGCUGCUAACUACUGAUGCAUAAGGAAUAUACUUCAUUUCUUUUCGUUUUAAUUCAUUUUUGGGACAUUGCAUUUGACUAAACUUGUCCCCUUUCUGAAUAAGAGCUAUCCCAAUAAAGCAUUUAUCCAUUCUAAAUCUCUCUAAUGUUUUAUUUAUAUAGCCUUUCUGAGACAAUCCCAAUAGUCCUUGUGAUUUAUCACAGAAUAUUUCUAUUCCUAUCACAUAUGAUGCCUCACCCAUAUCUUUCAUUUCAAAUGUAUUGGAUAGAAACUUCUUUACAUCAUGUAACAAAGAAAAAUCAUUGGCAGCAAGUAAAAUAUCAUCACCAUAUAAGAUUAAAUUAUGAAUUUUCUCCCA
rnacentral:lncRNA from 1 species